GUUAAGGUCUUUAAACCCAAAGAAUUUGGCGGUAUCUCAUUCCAUUCAGAGGAACCUACCCCGUGAUUGAUAGUACACGAUUGACUUUACUUAAUUUAUUUGUUUGUAUAUCUCCGUUAUCAGAAUAUCUUUUUAGAGUUAUAAUUUUCUUGAUUUUUAAUUAAAAAGUAUUUCAGGUCAAGGUGCAGCUUAUGGUUAAGUGGAGGUGGGUUACAAUAAGUUCAUAUUUAUUACGGAUUUGAUGGUGAAAUACUGUUAAUGAAGGUGGAUUUGAUAGUAAUUUGGUUUAUUUAAUUUAAUUGAUAUUGGCUCUGAGGUGUGUACACAUCGCCCGU
rnacentral:rRNA from 1 species